GGUGUAUUCCCUCUGUCCAAUAAAGGAUGUCUCAACUUUGAUUAAAUUUGAAUACAUUUAUAUACUAAGCCACAUCUAGAUACAUCUAAAUUUUGACAAACUUGAGACAUCUUUUGUUGGACGGAUGGAGUAUAUG
rfam:Brachypodium distachyon strain Bd21 chromosome 4, whole genome shotgun sequence.